UCCUACGGGAGGCAGCAGUAGGGAAUCUUCCGCAAUGGACGAAAGUCUGACGGAGCAACGCCGCGUGAGUGAUGAAGGCUUUCGGGUCGUAAAACUCUGUUGUUAGGGAAGAACAAGUGCUAGUUGAAUAAGCUGGCACCUUGACGGUACCUAACCAGAAAGCCACGGCUAACUACGUGCCAGCAGCCGCGGUAAUACGUAGGUGGCAAGCGUUAUCCGGAAUUAUUGGGCGUAAAGCGCGCGCAGGUGGUUUCUUAAGUCUGAUGUGAAAGCCCACGGCUCAACCGUGGAGGGUCAUUGGAAACUGGGAGACUUGAGUGCAGAAGAGGAAAGUGGAAUUCCAUGUGUAGCGGUGAAAUGCGUAGAGAUAUGGAGGAACACCAGUGGCGAAGGCGACUUUCUGGUCUGUAACUGACACUGAGGCGCGAAAGCGUGGGGAGCAAACAGGAUUAGAUACCCUGGUAGUCCACGCCAUAAACGAUGAGUGCUAAGUGUUAGAGGGUUUCCGUCCUUUAGUGCUGAAGUUAACGCAUUAAGCACUCCGCCUGGGGAGUACGGCCGCAAGGCUGAAACUCAAAGGAAUUGACGGA
rnacentral:rRNA from 1 species